UACGUAGGGGGCAAGCGUUGUCCGUAAUCAUUGGGCGUAAAGAGCGUGUAGGCGGCCCGAUAAGUCCGCCGUGAAAGUCCAGGGCUCAACCCUGGGAUGCCGGUGGAAACUGUCGGGCUAGAGUCCGGAAGAGGCGAGUGGAAUUCCUGGUGUAGCGGUGAAAUGCGCAGAUAUCAGGAGGAACACCAAUGGCGAAGGCAGCUCGCUGGGACGGUACUGACGCUGAGACGCGAAAGCGUGGGGAGCAAACAGG
rnacentral:rRNA from 1 species